UUAUCAGACUUGUUACAAGGUUGUUCUAACCGGUCUGAUACAGUCAUGAUAUAACAAGAAUGUUACAAGGUUGACGACACAAGGUUGUAACAAUCUUCCGAUCUAUAUCACGACUGUAUCGGACUUGUUGGAACAACCUUGCAACAAAUCUGAUAA